CACUAUCGUUAACUGAAUACAUAGGUUAACGAGGCGAACCGGGGGAACUGAAACAUCUAAGUACCCCGAGGAAAAGAAAUCAACCGAGAUUCCCCCAGUAGCGGCGAGCGAACGGGGAGCAGCCCAGAGUCUGAAUCAGCUUGUGUGUUAGUGGAACGGUCUGGAAAGUCCGACGGUACAGGGUGAUAGUCCCGUACACCAAAAUGCACAGGUUGUGAACUCGAAGAGUAGGGCGGGACACGUGGUAUCCUGUCUGAAUAUGGGGGGACCAUCCUCCAAGGCUAAAUACUCCUGACUGACCGAUAGUGAACCAGUACCGUGAGGGAAAGGCGAAAAGAACCCCGGCG
rnacentral:rRNA from 1 species